AGCCUGCUGAAUCCCAAAAAAGAAAGAAAGAAAAAAAACUUGCAGAGGAAAUGUGUGAGUGCAGGAGGAGGAGAGAAGAAACACAAGCCAGACACGCUUUUUCACAGCUUUUCGCUGCGUCUGAUAAAGCUUGGGAUCCACUUCACAAAGGCAAAUUUGUCUUUACAGAUCUUUGGACUACCAAGGUCAACGAGGACGAACAAUCCCAGUAGCGGCACUUGAGCAGUGGCAGAAGAACGCGAGAGGCUGGUGGGUGGGGGGAAGGAACCGUUGGCAUGCGUGGUGGUCACCGCUAUGCCGCUCCAGCUCUCAGCUCUCUACAUGCCAUGGCAUCAUUUCCAUAGCAACCCACUCUAACGAUUCAUUUUCAAUUAGAGCAGACACAAAACACACUGCCCUGAGCCAGUAGGCAGUGUCAAGAGCCCAUCUCCAUCUUCCUCGCCCCCACAUGGGGGGAGUGAUCCAGCCUCUUCGAGUCAAAGACACCAGGCUGUCUUAGAGUAACGUUCAUAAGCCACUCAUUUAAUCAGAUUCACAUCAGUGCAAAAAUAAAUGGGCUGUUCAUAAUGAACAGAGAUUUAAUGCUAAAAGGUUUAUAGAGAAAUGCACAAAAAACUUUAUUGUGAAAGUCUUGGGCAAAGCUGGGUUUUUGUGCAGUCACUGAGAAUGUGAUGCGUUUCAGGCCUGGAAGAAUUGCCACAAGCUGCAAAGCUGUUCUUUCUGGCUAGAGAGUUAUACACUUGAGUUCAUAUCUACCUCCAGUCUCCCUUCCUGCUGUGCAGCUGAUGUCCGAUCUGACGCUAUGUGUGCAGCACUUGUAAACAUUGCCCUAAUAAAAUCACCGGCAUGGUUUCUAUCUGCCUUCCA